rnacentral:rRNA from 1 species
UACGUAGGGGGCUAGCGUUGUCCGGAAUCAUUGGGCGUAAAGAGCGUGUAGGCGGCUCGGUAAGUCCGCUCUGAAAGCCCGGGGCUCAACCCCGGGAGGCGGGCGGAUACUGUCGAGCUAGAGUCCGGAAGAGGCGAGUGGAAUUCCUGGUGUAGCGGUGAAAUGCGCAGAUAUCAGGAGGAACACCAAUAGCGAAGGCAGCUCGCUGGGACGGUACUGACGCUGAGGAGCGAAAGCGUGGGGAGCGAACAGG